GACGAGGUGGCCGAGUGGUUAAGGCGUUGGACUGCUAAUCCAAUGGGCUCUGCCCGCGUGAGUUCGAAUCUCAUCCUCGUCG
rfam:Punica granatum cultivar Dabenzi scaffold4511, whole genome shotgun sequence.